CCUUCGAUAGCUCAGUUGGUAGAGCGGUGGACUGUAGAAAAUUUGAUAGGAGAUGGCUGAAGGAAAACCAUCCGGGAGAGGAGAGAUCACCUCCAAUCAAACAGAAAUCCAUAGGUCACUGGUUCAAAUCCGGUUCGAAGGA
rnacentral:tRNA from 1 species